GACAACAAUAUUUAUUGUGGUUCUUUGUCUUAAUCAUGAACAGUAAUGUACAAUUCUGUUCAAAGCUCUACGGUAAGAAAGAUUUUUUUAAUGUUUUUGAAAAAAGCCACCGAGUCUGCAUUUGAUCAAAAAUAAAGUACAAACAGUAAUACUGUGAAACAUUAUUACAAUUUCUAAUAUUUUUUUCUAUUUUAAUAUGUGAUGGGAAAGCUGAAUUUUUAGCAUCAUUACUCCAGUCUUCAGUGUCACAUGAUCCUUCAGAAAUUAUACUAAUAUACUGAUUUGCUGCUCAGAAAACUUUUUGCAAAGAAUACAAUAAUAACAAUUUAUUCAGCGAUUCUUCUCCGAAUUGCCGUCUUCUGCCAUUUUAAUCAACAUAAUCAGCGUUGUUUAUGUUCAGUAGACAGAUAUGUAUAUAUAUAUAUAUAUAUAUAUAUAUAUACAUACAUAUGUAUAUCUAUGCAGGGCAUGCAUGCUUAAUGUAAACAACGCUGAUUACGUUCUGGGGUACUCUCCAAAAUGGGGGAAGACGGUAACUCGGGGAAAAGAAUUGCUGAAUAAAUUAUAUUAUUAUUGUUUUCUUUGCGCAUAAAAAGUAUCCUCGCAGCUUCGUAAAAUUACGGUUGAACCCCUGAUAUCACAUGGACUAUUUUACCGAUGUCCUUGCUACGUUUCUGUGCUUUGAUCGUGGUAAUAUCAUUGCUGUCUAUGUAGGGCCAGAGAGCUCUCAGAUUCCAUCAAAAAUAUAUUAAUUUGUGUUCCGAAGAUGAACGGAGGUCUUACGGGUUUGGAACGACAUGAGGAAACAUGAAGACUUGCAAGACUUGAAGGAUCUGCUACUAAUGUCUUGGUGCCAGAUACAGCAGGACAGAUUCAGAGGUCUUUUGGAGCUGUUUUGGCAGCACAAGAGGUGGUUUUAUUGUUGUGGAUGUUCAGUGUAUUUAUUAAACACCCUAUAUGGGAUUUGUAAACACAGCCUUUUGGGUUAUGUGCAUUUUUUAAAUAUAAAAAUAGAAAUUC